rnacentral:lncRNA from 1 species
UUCAAACAAAAAAAUGGGAAACAAAUGGUUUUUGGUUCAGAGUCAAUGUUACCAUCAUGUUUACUGUGUUGGUUUGUUUUUCUUUUGUUGUUCGCUCGGUUUCUCUUUUUUUCUAUUUUUCAACCGAGUGCCCUUCUUUGGCUCGUGCUUCUUUUGAACCUUCGAGUUUAUUUAUAUAUAUUUUUUCUUUUUCUCUCGAUAAUUUUCUACUUUACUUUUUUUCUUUGUUUUCGCACGUUCUUGGGCUUUUGGAACUCUU